GAUGAACGCUGGCGGCGUGCCUAAUACAUGCAAGUCGAGCGAACAGAUGAGGAGCUUGCUCCUCUGUCGUUAGCGGCGGACGGGUGAGUAACACGUGGAUAACCUACCUAUAAGACUGGGAUAACUUCGGGAAACCGGAGCUAAUACCGGAUAAUAUAUUGAACCGCAUGGUUCAAUAGUGAAAGACGGUUUUGCUGUCACUUAUAGAUGGAUCCGCGCCGCAUUAGCUAGUUGGUAAGGUAACGGCUUACCAAGGCGACGAUGCGUAGCCGACCUGAGAGGGGGAUCGGCCACACUGGAACUGAGACACGGUCCAGACUCCUACGGGAGGCAGCAGUAGGGAAUCUUCCGCAAUGGGCGAAAGCCUGACGGAACAACGCCGCGUGAGUGAUGAAGGUCUUCGGAUCGUAAAACUCUGUUAUUAGGGAAGAACAAAUGUGUAAGUAACUAUGCACGUCUUGACGGUACCUAAUCAGAAAGCCACGGCUAACUACGUG
rnacentral:rRNA from 1 species